rnacentral:rRNA from 1 species
UCAGGUAACACUGAAUGGAGGACCGAACCGACUUACGUUGAAAAGUGAGCGGAUGAACUGAGGGUAGCGGAGAAAUUCCAAUCGAACCUGGAGAUAGCUGGUUCUCUCCGAAAUAGCUUUAGGGCUAGCCUCAAGUGAUGAUUAUUGGAGGUAGAGCACUGUUUGGACGAGGGGCCCCUCUCGGGUUACCGAAUUCAGACAAACUCCGAAUGCCAAUUAAUUUAACUUGGGAGUCAGAACAUGGGUGAUAAGGUCCGUGUUCGAAAGGGAAACAGCCCAGACCACCAGCUAAGGUCCCAAAAUAUAUGUUAAGUGGAAAAGGAUGUGGCGUUGCCCAGACAACUAGGAUGUUGGCUUAGAAGCAGCCAUCAUUUAAAGAGUGCGUAAUAGCUCACUAGUCGAGUGACACUGCGCCGAAAAUGUACCGGGGCUAAACAUAUUACCGAAGCUGUGGAUUGUCCUUUGGACAAUGGUAGGAGAGCGUUCUAAGGGCGUUGAAGCAUGAUCGUAAGGACAUGUGGAGCGCUUAGAAGUGAGAAUGCCGGUGUGAGUAGCGAAAGACGGGUGAGAAUCCCGUCCACCGAUUGACUAAGGUUUCCAGAGGAAGGCUCGUCCGCUCUGGGUUAGUCGGGUCCUAAGCUGAGGCCGACAGGCGUAGGCGAUGGAUAACAGGUUGAUAUUCCUGUACCACCUAUAAUCGUUUUAAUCGAUGGGGGGAC